AUGCUGACAGGCACCAGGAACAAGUUGGAACACAGAUUUGCACUUCAAGCAGUCGUCCGAGGAGGUAUCGUGCAAGGCCACCGUGCGGCAAGGGCCUGCACGGAUCCCCCUUCCCUUUCAGAGUGCAGGAGGACAUUGAGCUCCAAGCACUGUGGCAGCAGGCUGACUUCCAGACCUCCUUUAAGGCCCAUUUUUCUGCAGGUGAUUCCUCUCCAUUUUUAUGAAUCUGCAGUGGACACUGAAAGCUCACAUCCCCGCCUCGCUCUCAGGACGCACAAAUGCACAGGUCCCCUCAACAUCACGUCAGUAAUCCAACAGAUCCCAGAACAGCAACAAAAAAGCUUUGCCUUUGUCGCAUUUGAGGGAGAAAUUUAAUUACAACCGCGGGUGUAUGCAGGCACUGGAAAAAGAAAAAACAGGCGACAAAUGAAUAUACAGAGCAAAUGACAAAACAUGAGGGGGAAUAACUGACAGAUGAAAAGACGGAGGAUGUGCAGCUAACAGGCAAAACGCGCCGGUACAAAGCCGCGCACACCUUUGAGAGCAAGAGUUUGUUUUAUUGCACUUCUCCCGGGUUGCAUCUCCUGUCGAUUUGCAGGAAAAAGAAGGGGGGAUAAGUGAACAUGCCCUGUUUAAGAAACAAACAUGCAGAUUAGAUGGGAUUCUGACAACACACGGCUCAGACUUCAUGUCCCACUGCUCAUCUCUCAACAAUGAAAACAAAACAGAGGGUUGGAAAAAUCCACUCAGCGCGGUUGACAACACUUACCGUCAUUCUGCACAAAUAAAUAAAUGCAAAUAAUGAGAUGACAUCUGGAAAUAAAUAGUGGGAGUAAAGACAAACUGAUACCUACUCUGGUCCGCUUAAGACCCAAUGGGUGGCACGAGAAAUCUUUAUUUAUAGACACAAAUAAAAAAUAUAUAGUGUGGUAAACGUGAAUGUGACGGAUUUGGUGCACACGUAUAUUAUUAUUAUUAUUAUUUUUAUUUCUAAAAUAGAAAUUAAACCCGCAAAAAAAAGUCUGUCUUGGCGCGCAGUGAGGCACAGUGGAUUUGGGCGUCGCCAGCAGGAAGCCUCUCUAAAGAAGAAAAAAAAAUCAGACCUUACAAGGCAUGUGUAACAUUUACUUCAAGUGCAGGGAGUUGUCACCUGUUAUGUGGUACCAGGCUACAUGUCAGCAGCAGCCUCCACUCACUCACUCCCCUCCCAGGAUGCUGCUCCACUGUGGACUGCCAGCAGCAGGCCUGCAGACACACACCCAGGCUCACCUUAUCAUACACACCUUCAGACUGCAGCUGGACCGAGUCCUCAGGCCGGGACACACCUCGUGUGACCACCAGAGGCCUUCAGGAAGAGCUGACAUUUAUAUUUUAAAGAGGGGAAAUUAGGAUUCAGUGUUCUAAAACCACAAGUGAAUAUCAUGCAUGUUGUGUAUUAUGUGUGUCAUCAUCGAUAUUUGAUGCUCAUAGAUGCUUUUAGAGGACAAAAACAAACAAUAAAAACC
rnacentral:lncRNA from 15 species